rnacentral:misc_RNA from 1 species
AGCAGCCGCGGUAAUUCCAGCUCCAAUAGCGUAUAUUAAAGUUGUUGCAGUUAAAAGCUCGUAGUUGAAUUUCGGGGUCAAUAAGUUGGUCAUGCCAAUGGUAUGCACUGGCUUUAUUGAUUCCUACCUCUUGACGAACUGUGAUGCCAUUAAUUUGGUGUUGCAAGGAAUCAGGACUGUUACCUUGAAAAAUUGAGUGUUUAAAGCAAGCUUACGCUUGAAUACAUUAGCAUGGAAUAAUGAAAUAGGACGUUUGAUCCUAUUUUGUUGGUUUCUAGGAUCGACGUAAUGAUUAAUAGGGAUAGUUGGGGGCAUUAGUAUUCAAUUGUCAGAGGUGAAAUUCUUGGAUUUAUUGA